rnacentral:lncRNA from 1 species
AAUCGGCAAACAGAUGCAACUAUAUAUAUUAAACAAUUUCUCACAAUCUUAAAAUGUUCCAUUUUUCAGGGUUGGAGGGGGGUCAAGCUUCAAAUUUAGGCAGCACAAGUUUUUUACAUGUAAAAAUGCCGCAAAAAGCUUCAAGCUAACAGUAUUGUUGGCCUGUUAAGCUCUGGUCUGCAUUGCAACAAAAGACCAGCAGCAAUUUCAGCUCAACUCCUGUAGCAAUACUGUUUUGAACUGAAGAAAUGAAGCUGGUCCGAAUGCAACAACAUAUUUUGAUUAUUUUGUUCCUAUGCAACAACAAAAAGGGCAUGGCAGACCCAACAAAUAAGUAGCCCAAUCGGCCCAAAAUAGUUCCUGGCCCGGAACACAAAAAAAAAAAAACAAAAGGAACCCUAGCCCUAAGCAAUAAGGAGCGCCGCAACAAGCCCUCAGCGCCGCAACAGCCCUCGCCUCUAGCGGCCUCUCCAAGCGCCGCACGACUCGGGGCCGACCCCUCUCCACGCGCGCCGGCCUCUCCACGAACGCCUGCAAAAACGGACUCAAGGAGGCCAAAGAAAAAAACAAGAUAAAUAUAUAUAUAUAUAUAUUUAUAUAUUUUAUUUUCUCUUUUCGGCCUAUAAAAGGCCAUUUAAUCUGCAAAAUAAGGACGGAGAAAUACGGAAAAUACAGAGAAAAAUCAAUUGAAGAGCGAGUUGCUUAUUUAUUUUUUUUAAGGUGAUUAUUGGAGUUAUUUUAGAUCUUUUUUUUUCUGAUUUGGGUUUUUAUAUUGCGAAAAAAAUAAAAAAGGAAGAGACCACUUACCUGCUUCACCGAGUCUCCCUCCGUCACGGCUGGAGGCUGAGACGACGAUCGGGUUGCGGCACGCUGCGAAGGAUGGUGCGAGGACGCUAGGGAUUAAACCCUAGCAGAGCACCUAAGAGAUUUUUUUUAUUUUUUUC